UACGGAGGAUGCAAGCGUUAUCCGGAAUGAUUGGGCGUAAAGCGUCCGCAGGUGGCCAUGUAAGUCUGCUGUCAAAGCGUCUGGCUCAACCAGAUAAAGGCAGUGGAAACUACAUAGCUAGAGUAAGGUAGGGGUAGAGGGAAUUCCUGGUGUAGCGGUGAAAUGCGUAGAGAUCAGGAAGAACACCGGUGGCGAAAGCGCUCUGCUAGGCCGCAACUGACACUGAGGGACGAAAGCUAGGGGAGCGAAUGGG
rnacentral:rRNA from 1 species